UGAGGAAUAUUGGUCAAUGGGCGAGAGCCUGAACCAGCCAAGUAGCGUGCAGGAGGACUGCCCUAUGGGUUGUAAACUGCUUUUAUAUGGGAAUAAAGUGAGGGACGUGUCCCUUAUUGCAUGUACCAUACGAAUAAGGACCGGCUAAUUCCGUGCCAGCAGCCGCGGUAAUACGGAAGGUCCAGGCGUUAUCCGGAUUUAUUGGGUUUAAAGGGAGCGUAGGCUGUUUGUUAAGCGUGUUGUGAAAUGUAAGAGCUCAACUUUUAGAUUGCAGCGCGAACUGGCAGACUUGAGUGCGCACAACGUAGGCGGAAUUCAUGGUGUAGCGGUGAAAUGCUUAGAUAUCAUGACGAACUCCGAUUGCGAAGGCAGCUUACGGGAGCGCAACUGACGCUAAAGCUCGAAGGUGCGGGUAUCGAACAGG
rnacentral:rRNA from 1 species